rnacentral:rRNA from 1 species
GCAUAUCAAUAAGCGGAGGAAAAGAAACCAACAGGGAUUGCCUCAGUAACGGCGAGUGAAGCGGCAACAGCUCAAAUUUGAAAUCUGGCCUCUUGGGGUCCGAGUUGUAAUUUGUAGAGGAUGUUUCGGGUACCGCCUCGGUUUAAAUUUCUUGGAACAGAAUGUCAGAGAGGGUGAGAAUCCCGUCUUGAACCGGUGGUAGGGCCUAUGUGAAACUCCUUCGACGAGUCGAGUUGUUUGGGAAUGCAGCUCCAAAUGGGUGGUAAAUUUCAUCUAAAGCUAAAUAUUGGCCAGAGACCGAUAGCGCACAAGUAGAGUGAUCGAAAGAUGAAAAGCACUUUGAAAAGAGAGUUAAACAGUAUGUGAAAUUGUUGAAAGGGAAGCGCUUACAACCAGACUUGAGCGCGGCGGUUCCCCCUUGCUUCUGCUUGGGUUACUCCGCCGUGUCCAGGCCAACAUCGGUUCUGGGGGUCGGUCAAAGGCCCUGGGAAUGUAUCUACCUACGGGUAGACUUAUAGACCAGGGUGUCAUGCGGCCUCCCGGGACCGAGGAACGCGCUCCGGCUCGGAUGUUGGCGUAAUGGUUGUCAGCGACCCGUCUUGAAACACGGACC